rnacentral:rRNA from 2 species
AACGACUCUCGGCAACGGAUAUCUCGGCUCUCGCAUCGAUGAAGAACGUAGCGAAAUGCGAUACUUGGUGUGAAUUGCAGAAUCCCGUGAACCAUCGAGUUUUUGAACGCAAGUUGCGCCCGAAGCUUCUGCUGAGGGCACGUCUGCCUGGGCG